rnacentral:rRNA from 1 species
AUGCCUUACGAUGAGCGGUACACACCGUACAUCCAGCAGGCAGGACUACUCCCGUGGAUUCAGUUGGUCAGCCGGUCCACGCCGAAUCUCAACACUCCACUGGUGUCCGCUCGUGCUGAUCGGUCGAGGCCGAAGACGCACAAUUUCCAUCUUCGGACUGGGGAGAUGACAGUGACACUCGAGGAUGUCUCGUUGAUCACCGGUCUUGCUAUCGACGGGAGGCCUCUCUGUAUGAGCACUGAUUCUGAUGGGUGGUGCCAGCAGAUGAUUGCUCUUAUCGGUAUGGCCCCUACCGAGGAUGAGGCUGAUGUAGAGGAGGGAGAAGAGAAGAACAAGAAGGAAAGGAAAGCAGCCGGAGCUGCUUUCACGUGGAUUCAAAGAUUAUGA